rnacentral:rRNA from 1 species
GACGAACGCUGGCGGCGUGCUUAACACAUGCAAGUCGAACGGAAAGGCCCUGCUUUUGUGGGGUGCUCGAGUGGCGAACGGGUGAGUAACACGUGAGUAACCUGCCCUUGACUUUGGGAUAACUUCAGGAAACUGGGGCUAAUACCCGAUAGGAGCUCCUGCUGCAUGGUGGGGGUUGGAAAGUUUCGGCGGUUGGGGAUGGACUCGCGGCUUAUCAGCUGGUUGGUGGGGUAGUGGCUUACCAAGGCUUUGACGGGUAGCCGGCCUUGGAGGGUGGCCGGCCACAUGGGGCCUGCGAUACGGCGCAGACUGCUACGGGAGGCAGCAGUGGGGAACAUUGCACAAUGGGCGGAAGCCUGAUGCAGCAACGCCGCGUGCGGGAUGACGGCCUUCGGGUUGUAAACCGCUUUCGCCUGUGACGAAGCGUGAGUGACGGUAAUGGGUAAAGAAGCACCGGCUAACUACGUG